CGCGCGCGUGCUCCGCUUCCAAUCCUCCUCGCGGGGUUGCUGCGCCAGAGCCCAUACCCGCCUCAACCCUAGCCGCCACACCUCUCCUUCCUCCCUUGCUUGACACCAUAGGCGGUGCACCCCCUCCCCUCCUUCCUGCUCGGGCUGAUAGCCGCCAGCCGCUGCAUCCCUUCCCCCCCUUCCUCCUCCUUCCUCCUUCCCGUUGGCGCCCCUCGCCCUCGUCCACGGACAAGGGGCCUUCCGCAGGGAUGGCGACGUCUUUAAACCAGGGGUAGUGGAGCAGGGGAUGGCCAAGAAGCCGACACUGGGGGGAGCAGCCAGGCCAAGGAGGACCCAGGUGGUGGAUGCGUCAUGGGGUUAAGGAGAGGCCAAUGAUAGGGAUAAGUAGGAGGAGUGCCAUGGAUCUAUAGGGAAAGGAGGGUGACGCCCUCGGCGGGCAUCCGAGCAGGAAGCCGGCGGGUAGCAUGUCAUCGUAGGCGUCAAGGGAGCCAUGGACAAGCCACCAGGAGGAGAAAGCUCCUAGUUUGUGGUGGAUACUAUGAGACAGAUACAAACCAAGUGUAAUCAAAGAGGAUAUGGAUUCAGUAUGGCCAUGAGUGAAGGAAUGUUACUCCAAUUUGGUACUUUAGUUUAUUGUUUUCACUUAGUCUGUAUUAGCUUAACAAAUAACAUUUGUGGGACAACUACUAUUUGAACAUGGAUUUUUUCAGGAUCUUGGAGAAUGUUUUCGCAGUGUGGUCCAGGUUAAAUUGUUGUCCUACUAUUCCUGCUCAGCCUUCUAUUGUUCUAUGUCUUCGCAAGGACUUCUUCCAGCUUCUCUAUUGGUGUUCUCUUCACACCGAUGGAGUUCAAGGGUGAUGACUGAAAGUUUUGUCAUUACUGGCUAACACUUGGCGACAACGUGUUCAUCAGAAAUGAUCUGAUUAUGCUCUGUUGUAUUAUAUUUCCUACUUUUUUGUAAAUAUGUAUUGAUGUACAUGCACACUCUGUCCAUGCCUGAAAAAGACCGUCAUCCCUUAGUGGCAAAGAUGAUUUUGUUGAACAAUUUCUGUAUAUGUUACAUAGCGUAUUCUUUCCAAUGUAGAAGGUAGUUGCCGACUCUGCAUUGCU